rnacentral:rRNA from 1 species
UACAGAGGUCUCGAGCGUUAGGCGGAAUCACUGGGCUUAAAGCGUGUGUAGGUGGAUGCCUAAGUACCUUGUGAAAUCCCACGGCUUAACCGUGGAACUGCUUGGUAUACUGGGUGUCUUGAGUCACUCAGGGGCGAGCGGAACAAAUGGUGGAGCGGUGAAAUGCGUAGAUAUCAUUUGGAACGCCAAUGGUGAAAACAGCUCGCUGGGGGUGCACUGACACUGAGGCACGAAAGCGUGGGGAGCGAACGGG